rnacentral:rRNA from 1 species
UACGUAGGGUGCGAGCGUUAAUCGGAAUUACUGGGCGUAAAGCGUGCGCAGGCGGUUUUGUAAGUCAGAUGUGAAAGCCCCGGGCUUAACCUGGGAAUGGCAUUUGGGACUGCAAGGCUUGAGUGCGGCAGAGGAGACUGGAAUUCCGCGUGUAGCAGUGAAAUGCGUAGAUAUCGGGAGGAACACCGGUGGCGAAGGCGGCGACCUGGGUAGAUACUGACGCUGAGGUGCGAAAGCGUGGGGAGCAAACAGG